AUUGAACGCUGGCGGCAGGCCUAACACAUGCAAGUCGAACGAGUGGCGGACGGGUGAGUAAUGUCUGGGUAACUGCCUGAUGGAGGGGGAUAACUACUGGAAACGGUAGCUAAUACCGCAUACCAUCGGAUGUGCCCAGAUGGGAUUAGUUAGUAGGUGGGGUAACGGCUCACCUAGGCGACGAUCCCUAGCUGGUCUGAGAGGAUGACCAGCCACGCUGGGACUGAGACACGGUCCAGACUCCUGCGGGAGGCAGCAGUAGGGAAUAUUGCACAAUGGGCGCAGGCCUGAUGCAGCCGUGCCGCGUGUAUGAAGAAGGCCGUCGGGUUGUAAAGUACUUUCAGCGGGGAGGCGUUACCCGCAGGAGAAGCACCGGCUAACUCCAUGCCAGCAGCCACGGUAAUAC
rnacentral:rRNA from 1 species